UUGCUCUAGGGGUUAUUCUUGUUCCCUACAUUUAAGUCCAUCUCUUACUUUGUCAGCUGGCCUUAGUUUAUUACCAGUUGAUUUUCAAGGUUGGUACAUUA